GAUGAACGCUGGCGGCGUGCCUAAUACAUGCAAGUCGAGCGAACAGACGAGGAGCUUGCUCCUCUGACGUUAGCGGCGGACGGGUGAGUAACACGUGGAUAACCUACCUAUAAGACUGGGAUAACUUCGGGAAACCGGAGCUAAUACCGGAUAAUAUAUUGAGCCGCAUGGUUCAAUAGUGAAAGAUGGUUUUGCUGUCACUUAUAGAUGGAUCCGCGCCGCAUUAGCUAGUUGGUAAGGUAACGGCUUACCAAGGCAACGAUGCGUAGCCGACCUGAGAGGGUGAUCGGCCACACUGGAACUGAGACACGGUCCAGACUCCUACGGGAGGCGGCAGUAGGGAAUCUUCCGCAAUGGGCGAAAGCCUGACGGAGCAACGCCGCGUGAGUGAUGAAGGUCUUCGGAUCGUAAAACUCUGUUAUUAGGGAAGAACAAAUGUGUAAGUAACUAUGCACGUCUUGACGGUACCUAAUCAGAAAGCCACGGCUAACUACGUG
rnacentral:rRNA from 1 species